UAGUCGUUACACGAAGAACCUUACCAGGGUUUGACAUGCAAGUGGUAGGAAACUGAAAGGGGACCGACCUUCGGGAGCUUGCACAGGUGCUGCAUGGCUGUCGUCAGCUCGUGUCGUGAGAUGUUCGGUUAAGUCCGCUAACGAGCGCAACCCUCACUGUGUGUUACAUGUGUCACACGGGACUGCCGGUUUUAAGCCGGAGGAAAGUGGGAUGACGUCAAGUCAGCAUGGCCUUUAUAUCCUGGGCUACACACACGCUACAAUGGUCGGUACAAUAGGUUGCCAAGCCGCGAGGCGGAGCCAAUCCAAAAAAGCCGGCCUCAGUUCAGAUUGUAGGCUGCAACUCGCCUGCAUGAAGAUGGAGUUGCUAGUAACCGCAGGUCAGCAAUACUGCGGUGAAUACGUUCCCGGGCCUU
rnacentral:rRNA from 1 species